UGGGGAAUAUUGCACAAUGGGCGCAAGCCUGAUGCAGCCAUGCCGCGUGUAUGAAGAAGGCCUUCGGGUUGUAAAGUACUUUCAGUCGGGAGGAAGGUGGUAAGGUUAAUAACCUUAUCAAUUGACGUUACCGACAGAAGAAGCACCGGCUAACUCCGUGCCAGCAGCCGCGGUAAUACGGAGGGUGCAAGCGUUAAUCGGAAUUACUGGGCGUAAAGCGCACGCAGGCGGUUUGUUAAGUCAGAUGUGAAAUCCCCGGGCUCAACCUGGGAACUGCAUCUGAUAAUGGCAAGCUUGAGUCUCGUAGAGGGGGGUAGAAUUCCAGGUGUAGCGGUGAAAUGCGUAGAGAUCUGGAGGAAUACCGGUGGCGAAGGCGGCCCCCUGGACGAAGACUGACGCUCAGGUGCGAAAGCGUGGGGAGCAAACAGG
rnacentral:rRNA from 1 species